rnacentral:rRNA from 1 species
UACGUAGGGUGCGAGCGUUUAAUCGGAAUUACUGGGCGUAAAGCGUGCGCAGGCGGUUUUGUAAGCCAGGUGUGAAAUCCCCGGGCUCAACCUGGGAAUGGCAUUUGGGACUGCAAGGCUGGAGUGCGGCAGAGGAGACUGGAAUUCCUGGUGUAGCAGUGAAAUGCGGUAGAUAUCAGGAGGAACACCGAUGGCGAAGGCAGGUCUCUGGGCUGACACUGACGCUCAUGCACGAAAGCGUGGGGAGCAAACAGG